rnacentral:tRNA from 1 species
GCCUGUGGCCUAGUGGGCAAGGUUACGGUCUUGGGAACACGGGGUCGUAGGUUCAAGCCCAGCUAGGAACA